ensembl:snoRNA SNORD33 Small nucleolar RNA Z195/SNORD33/SNORD32 family
UUUAACUGAUCUCUACACCCAACAUGGGGCUCAAAUUUACAACCCUGAGAUCAAGAUUCACAUGCACUACCGACUGAGCUAGC